AUUGAACGCUGGCGGCAUGCCUUACACAUGCAAGUCGAACGGUAACAGGCCGCAAGGUGCUGACGAGUGGCGAACGGGUGAGUAAUGCAUCGGAACGUGCCCAGUCGUGGGGGAUAACUGCUCGAAAGAGCAGCUAAUACCGCAUACGACCUGAGGGUGAAAGCGGGGGACCGUAAGGCCUCGCGCGAUUGGAGCGGCCGGUGUCAGAUUAGCUAGUUGGUGGGGGAAAGGCCUACCAAGGCAACGAUUUGUAGUUGGUAUGAGAGGACUACCAGCCACACUGGGACUGAGACACGGCCCAGACUCCUACGGGAGGCAGCGGUGGGGAAUUUUGGACAAUGGGCGCAAGCCUGAUCCAGCAAUGCCGCGUGCAGGAAGAAGGCCUUCGGGUUGUAAACUGCUUUUGUCAGGGAAGAAAUCCUCUAGGUUAAUACCCUUGGGGGGAUGACGGUACCUGAAGAAUAAGCACCGGCUAACUACGUGCCAGCAGCCGCAGUAACAC
rnacentral:rRNA from 1 species